CCUACGGGUGGCAGCAGUGGGGAAUAUUGCACAAUGGGGGAAACCCUGAUGCAGCGACGCCGCGUGAGUGAAGAAGUAUUUCGGUAUGUAAAGCUCUAUCAGCAGGGAAGAAAAUGACGGUACCUGACUAAGAAGCCCCGGCUAACUACGUGCCAGCAGCCGCGGUAAUACGUAGGGGGCAAGCGUUAUCCGGAUUUACUGGGUGUAAAGGGAGCGUAGACGGCCGGACAAGUCGGAAGUGAAAGCCCGGGGCUGAACCCCGGGACUGCUUUUGAAACUGGCGGGCUGGAGUGCGGGAGGGGUAAGCGGAAUUCCUAGUGUAGCGGUGAAAUGCGUAGAUAUUAGGAGGAACACCAGUGGCGAAGGCGGCUUACUGGACUGUAACUGACGUUGAGGCUCGAAAGCGUGGGGAGCAAACAGGAUUAGAUACCCGUGUAGUC
rnacentral:rRNA from 1 species